GUCUUGUUGUGUGUUAAUCACUUCAUGAACUUAAACUUGCAUUGUUUCUUGGUCCUCGUUGCCUGACUCUUAUUCAAAGCAACCUUGCAGCAAACUUUGACAAUCAUAAUUUAAAACUCUUUUGCCUUUUGGUGCAGGUCUUGAACAUUCCUCCACCUCCAAGUUUAACGUGGCUACUUGAGAGACACAAAACACCAUACAAGUCAUCACUCCACAAGGGGCAGUCACGUUUGAAACUUUGACAUAUGUUCUGGGAUUGCUCUGGUUUGUUCCAUCCCGUGUGUCGACUGGACUUCUCCGUUUACUGUGGAUUGUGAGCUUUGGCAUUGGUUGUCUCCACCACUCAAGCACCGCUGCAGCCACUUUGUGUUUCUGUAGUUUUUGUGAUCGCAGGUGAGCCAAGUAGAACACGCUGCUAACUUGUGAUUGAAGGUGAGCUAAACCGAACACUCUGCAGUCUUGUGGCUGGAGGUGAAGUAACUUCUUGCAUCUGGCGCUGCACAAAGAUCCCUUCAGUGCAGUUUCUUUGCUUUGUGAGCCGAAGCAUGAUUAAUUUGUACUUGGCGUGAACCGGCAGCCCCAGGUUUCACUUGACACUCAUCUUUGCCACCCAUAUGCAGGACGCACCGCGAUACAGGCAUCAAAAACAAGUGCAGUGAAACCCCCUUGAGUUGGACCUUGCUUCCGCCACCUAUACGCAGGACGCACCGCAGUAUAGGCAUCGAA